UCUUUCCUUACUCUCUCUCAUUGUUUAUUUCUGCAAACUUUCUCAGGCAAUAUCAAUUCUCAUCGGAAAAUUGUAUCAUCGAAUUGAUAUACAACAUUGUAAUUCACAACAACUUAUGAGGUAGUCAGGGUCUUUAUUCCGCGACAAAUUUAUUAAGCUUUUAACUCUAACUUGAGAGGAUUCAUGAAGUGAAGAAACAAUGAUUUGAUUUCAGAACUCAACAGAUCAACAAUCUCAUAAGAUGUUUCGACAUCAUGUAACUACUCCAAGUAAAGAAUGGAUGACUGCACCCAAGGGUUCACCUCGAUGGAUUAAAGGUGUUCAAUCUUUCAUCCAAUUUACAGCAGAGAGUCUUGGUGUAGGUAUCAAAGAAUUUCGAUGUCCUUGCAUGAAAUGUAAGAAUUUCGGUAGUUUACCAAAAUCUCUAGAUGAUGUACAUGGGGAUAUCCUUGAUAAUGGGUUCUUACUGUCAUACCGAAUAUGGAUCCAUCAUGGAGAGAAAGCUCGGGUGAAUAAUGUUAAUGCUCCCACCUUACCUGCAAAUAAUGUUGUGAAUUAUGCUGCUGUGUCUCAUUCGAAAAUAUAUGACUUGUUCAAUGAGGCGCAUGGAGGUGUACUUGGUCUUGAUACCCCUGCAGAAUGUCUUAAUGAUCCUGAUCACCUGCCGGCUGCUACUGUUGAAGAUUGUUCUGGUGGCAAUGUUAAAGAUAAGGCUACUGUCGAUUGCAAGAAGAGGUUGAAGGAUACAGUGCAAUCCUUAUUUCCAGGUUGUGGUGAUGAACAUACAAAACUGUCAGCAACAGUUGAGUUGUUAAGUAUGCAGGCAAGGUAUCAAUGUUCUGAUGUUUUCAUGACAGAGUUAUUGGGAUAUAUGAAAACUAUUCUACCAGCUGGGAACACGUUACCAUCUACUUGUAGUAAAGCUAAGCAGAUGAUCAAGCCAUUUCAGUUGCCGGUGUAAAUUAUUCAUGCUUGUAUUAACGAUUGUAUUCUCUAUCGCAAGGAGUAUGCCAAUGACGAUAAGUGUCCUAAAUGUGGUGAAAGUAGAUGGCAAAAACCACCAGAAGGGAGUAGUACAACUGCUAAAAAGGUUCCGGUGAAUAGACUGAGGUAUUUUCCGGUCACGGAAAGGUUACAACGGAUGUAUGGCACCGCGUGGAUUACUGAGUUGAUGACAUGGCAUGCUAAGGUUCAAGAAAGUGCUACACACAUGAGACAUCCGGUGGAUUCUGCACAGUGUAAGGAGAUUGAUAAGAAGUGGCCUGAGUUUGCUUCAGAAAAAAGAAAUGUUCGUCUAGGAUUAGCAACAGAUGGUUUUAAUCCUUUUGGAAUGAUGAGCACGCACAGUACUUGGCCUGUUAUGAUUGUUUGUUACAACCUUCCACCAUCUGAAUGCACGACAAAGGAUUUCACAAUGUUAACCCUGCUGAUUCCUGGUCCACUUGGUCCCAACCAUAACAUUGAUGUUUAUUUGCAGCCACUGAUCGACGAGUUAAAUGAGUUAUGAUCACUUGGAAAGGUAACCUACGAUGCACAUACGAAGACUGACUUUACAAUGAGAGCAAUGUUGUUGUGGUGUAUAUAUGACUUUCCUGCGUAUGCGCAUGUUUCUGGUUUGCAAACUUCUGGAAAAUAUGGUUGUCCUGUGUGUGGAGAAAAUACAGAGGCAUUUUGGCUAAAAUGCGGUUCCAAAUUUGCUUAUAUGGGUCAUAGAAGGUUUCUAAGAGAUCGGUUUUACCCUUAUAGAAAGAAAACAUCCCAAUUCAACGGAAGAGAGGAUUUAAGGGUUGCACCAAGACGUUUGAGUGGCGGUGAAUUGUUCCACAAGACAGCAACUGCAGAUAAAGAAUUUGGGAAGUUGGUAAAGCGGCCUGCCGUUGAUUCUCCUUGGUCAAAGAGGUCAAUCUUUUUUCAGCUCCCGCAUUGGAAGUUUCUACAAAUCCGGCACAAUGUGGAUGUCAUGCAUGUAGAAAAGAAUUUUGCAGAGAAUCUGUUUGGAACUUUUAUGUGCCAUAAAGAUAAGUCUAAGGAUGGGGCUCCAGCGCGAAGAGAUUUAAAAAUGCUAAACUUAAAGCCUAGCCUGUGGUUGACGGAAAGGAACAGAAGAGACAUACUCCCUCCUGCACCUUAUUGGAUGUCUAAGAAAGAAAGGGAAGUUAUUUGUAAAACUUUCAGCACACUUAAAAUUCCAAUUGGUUACAGUGGGAAUUGGAAAAAAAAAAAGUAUGCUUGAAAGAGUUCCAAUUGAAGGGUCUAAAGUCGCACGACUAUCACAUCCUUAUGCAGGGUUUAAUGCCUAUUUUUAUAAUGCAUUGUUUCAAAAAACAGAAGCCUUUGCGCGAGGCAGUUAGAAACUUGUCGUUGUUUUUCAAAGUCCUUACCUCUAAGGUUAUUGAACGUGCUGAGCUUCGUGUAAUCCAUGAUCGUGUCGUGGAGUCCUUAUGCGUGUUUGAAAUGUAUUUCUCUCCUGCAUUUUUUGUUAGUAUGACUCAUGUUGUCGUACACUUGGCAGAAGAGGCAUAUCAAUUGGGGCCUGUUCAAUUUAGGUGGAUGUACCCUUUCGAGAGGAUGAUAAGAGUCUACAAGGUUCUUGGUCGGAACAAAAAUUAUAUAGAAGGCUCUAUUACAAAACAGUAUGAGGUUAAUGAAGGAGCGCACCAUUGCGCCGAGAUCCUUCCGAUGCGAAGCGAAAGUCUUUUAAGUGUCGUGGAAAGAUAGAGAAGCCCUGUGAUGCUUAUGAAGGUCCAUACCCAGUUAGUUCGCAAGGAAAAUCAUGUUCAUUAACCAACUUACAGUAUGAACAAAUUCGUUUGUGGAUAUUGAGACACGCAGAUGAAAAUACUGAAUGGGAAGCGAAAUACGUUAUAUAUCUUCGCAACUUUAACCAAAGUCGUGUGGGAAGGAUGAAGUGUUUGGACUACAUUCCGUGGCUACAGGAACAACUUGAAGGCAAUUACAUGACAGAUUUCUAUAGGCUGGCAUUUGGUCCUUCCUUCUCGGCAGUUUCGUAUAACGCAUACUUUAUUAAUGGAUAUCUUUUCUAUACAGCCGAUGCAGAAAAAGGUUUUAUUACACAAAAUAGUGGAGUUACCAUGGAUGCUUGUACCAGUUUCAGAGCAAGUUCGAGAGAUACUAACCUUGUCGAUGAUGAUACUACAUACUACGGAAUUCUGCAAGAUAUAGUUGAAGUGGACUAUGGAGUUUUCACAUAAGUUGUUUUUAACUGUCAUUGGGUGCGAAUGGAAGACAAAGUAAAGGGAUCAUAUGUGGAUCGAGAUACAAACUCAAGGUUUGUCAACUUCAAAAGGUUUAUGAGGAGCUCAAAAGAAGCCGACGAGCCAUUCAUCCAUGCUUCUCAAGAUAGACAAGUUUUUUACUGCCAAGAUGUGACAAGGAAGCAUUGGAAUUUGGUUUUGGAAUCUCCAAUAAGAUCACACCCCAAUAAGAACGCUUAUGAAGAUCCAUUUGUCUUUACUGGAGCCGCGAAUGAAGCUCCAUCAAUUUCGACAACUGUUGGAGAUGAUGAGUAUUGGAAUGGAGAUGCUCAGGCCAAUAAUGAGUAUUUGGAUCAAUAUGUUGAGGAAAAUACCUGAAUGUGGAUUGUGGCAUAUAUGCAAUCAUGUAGACAGUUACACCUAAUUACAGAAAGGUACGCCAUUAUGAAGUAGGAAUAACUUCUUCGUCAUCAUCGGAUUUUAUAAUUUUGCUGUUUAAUCAAUAUUAAUUCAUCGUUUUGUAAUAGAAUCCUAGAACUACAGAUUACACUCAUCGUUUUGUAAUAGAAUCCUAGAACUACAGAUUACACUGGUCAGAACUACAAAUUUAAUCCUUUGUGUAAUUUGAAACAAAUGAAUCAAUGAAUGUUAAAUUGAAUCUUUAUUUGUGU